rnacentral:misc_RNA from 1 species
CUCCUACGGGAGGCAGCAGUGGGACUCCUACGGGAGGCAGCAGUGGGGCCCACUCCUACGGGAGGCAGCAGUGGGACUCCUACGGGAGGCAGGAGUGGGACAGUUGGCUCAGAACGAACGCUGGCGGCUGGCUCAGAACGAACGCUGGCGGCCAACUCCUACGGGAGGCAGCUUUUGGACUCCUACGAGANGAAGCAGUGGGACUCCUACGGGAGGCAGCAGUGGGACUCUCAUCCGUGGCAGUAGGAANCUCCUACGGGUGCUUCGAGUG